GACCAAGGCCAGGGAUUGAACCCACAUUCUUGUGGAUGCUAGUUGGGUAUGUUACCGCUGAGCCACAACUGGGAUUCCAGUUUUGUUUUUUGUUUUUUUAAGAAAAGAAUAACAUUUGUCACUUUAAAACAUUUGACUGUAGUAGCCAUAUAUCUGCUACAUCUGUCAUUGUUGGGGAACUAGUCUGCCCUCAUAGCACCAGGUGAGCUGUCAGGCCUGGUACCUGCCUCCGCACCACAUGGCUUGUACACACAUGGAUAGGGAUCCCUUGGGCCAAGUGCUUGGUUUCGGGUGAGCACAUGACCCAUAUACAUUCCUUCCUGGAAUAGGUACCUGGAUGUUAGAAGAGGAAAAUCUUUUUUACCUGUUGUGGUCACUGGGCUAGAAGGAAGUGAAUCUGGAUGAGUGGGCAGUCGCUUUUCUUGCUGCAUUGUGAGGGGCUUCUCUGAAGAAGGAAGGCGGACUAUAACCAGAAGCCAAUUUGAGAGCUGGAGAGAGAUGAGCUCCAUGACCCUCUGGUGUGUGAAUGGAGAUGAGCAGAAAGAGUCAGAACCUUCGCCCUGUAUUGUGCAGAGAACUUGGGUGUCUAACCCUUGAUACCAAGUGAAUUCCCAGCUUACCGAGGGAGAGGUGGAAGCAUCCAUCACACUGUGGCGGAAGACUGAAAACUACUUCUUGUAUGCUGGCAGGUAUCAGAAGCAUCAGCUGAAUAUUUCUUCUACCUCGGCACGUGGAGGAAGGUAGCAUGGAUACUGUAAGAACAUCCACGCACAGGUUUCAGCUGAAAGACACACUGAAGAAUCUCAGUUUGUGCUCAUUAGCAAGUGGCGAUUGCCUGCCUGCUCCUUCUACACCCAUUUCUCCUGUACCGGCACUGUUGGUCUGCAAGACUCAGGGGAUACAGAGAUGAAAAAAUAUCUCCUGUUCUCAAGUAGCCCACAGCCCACUGUGAAUCCAAAUAUGAAAUUCAGGACUGGACAGACUUUUCACCAUUGACUGUGAAGUGAGGAAAGCAGCCCUUAGCUCUGGAACAAGGCAGGUAACUGACCAGGGACACUCAAGAUGCUGGCCUUGUCAAAACUGUGAUUUAACCAACUGAAUUAAGCAGCUAGUGCUGUCUCUGAAGUGUAGGUAUUACCUAAGUACUCAUGAAAGGAUCUCAGUAACUCCCAGGAAAUCUCCUCGAAAAUAAGAGUCCACGUGUCCUGAUUAUUUGGGAUUUUUGAGCAUUUUCCAUUAGUUUUAACUGUAUUUUGAACAUUUACAACCUUCUUGCUCCUCUCUGUCCUUUCUACAUAGCAGAAAAUUAUGUUCCUUUAGUUAUUCACCUCUGUUAUGAAAGCAGGUGCAAGAUUCUUAGCUAAUAAGUCUACGACUACAAAGAUCUUGCACAACCCCCUUCCCCCCAGCGCACACCGAGUAUUGUCGUGUUGGCCUUCCCAGGCCUUCCAACAUUGUGUUUUGUUUCUGAGCACUACUAAAGCUUGGAUUGUCCAACACUCCUCUACAAGUGUGUCACUUCUGUCUCUCCCUCUUUUUUUUUUUUGGCCACACCCACAGCAUGCAGACGUUCCUGGGCCAGGGAUUGAACCCAAGCCACAACAGUGACCUGAACCUCAGCAGUGACAACACUGAGCCCUUAACCACUUGGUCACCAGGGAAUUCCACUGUGUUAUUUCUUAAGAUGUUUCUCUCCAGUGGUAGGUGCGGUUAUCUUACGAUAUCUGAGCAUGUGUACUUCACAAGGCUUUUUCAGCGUUCUUUCUUGGGCUCCAAACCCAUUCCCAGAUCUGGUCGUUAGUUGUAAUUCUGCAUCAUUAGAUGACAAGUUAGGUUCCGCUCCCUGUUCCCAGUGUCCAGCUACCAGUAAUUUCACUCCUCCCUCUAGUUCAUCUUUUCUUUCAGAGUUUCUAUUCAUAAAACCUUGCUGAACUUUAUGUUCUGUUAAAUUUUUUCAUUUUUUUCUUUCAUUUCCCACUACUGUAAUCUGUGUAUUCCCCAUGUUUUCCAAUAGUUAUAAAAGCAAGAGGAAGAUUUACGUUUUAAGUAGGUUUGUUAAAAUACUUGAAAAAUCAUUCAAGAAAUAGAAACUGGUGUGUCUUGAGCCACACUGCCUUGAUUCAAAGCCCAGUUCUGCUGAUUGGGUUAGUCAUUUAACAUUCUUUAAACAUCUGAAGAGUGAGUGCCAUAGUGGUACACAGGUUGUAUCGAGAGGGUUCUGCCAUUGGAUUCAGAUCUUCAGUGUCACUUAUUUGCUGUCUAAUCUUGGUCACAUUUACUUAACCUUUCUAAAUUGCAGCUUGCUUCUCCGUAGUUCAGAAACAAUGAUAGCACCUGCCUCUUGAGAUUAUUGUAUGGAAUGAGACAUGAAUAUAAAGCCUUUUUUUUUUUUUUUUUUGUCUUUUUGCCAUUUCUUGGGCCGCUCCUUCGGCACAUGGAGGUUUCCAGGCUAGGGGUCUAAUCAGAGCUGUAGACGCCAGCCUAUGCCAGAGCCACAGCAACACGGGAUCCAAGCCACAUCUGCAACCUACAGCGCAGCUCACGGCAACGUCAGAUCCUUAACCCACUGAGCAAGGCCAGGGAUUGUACUCGCAACCUCAUGGUUCCUAGUUGGAUUUGUUAACCACUGAGCCAAGAUGGGUACUCCUGUAAAGCCUUUUUUUAAAGCACAGCACCUUGAGUGCUAAACACAUGAUAGAUACUCUUAUGAAGAACCCAUAGUGGGGUCACAAUUGAUAAACUGAAAGUCAGAUAUGGAAAACAGUGUAGCUUUCUAACUCCUCUGUGACUGGCUUAGUAUUAUUCCUCCUGUUGAGGGGGCAGAAGUCAAAUUUCCCAUCAUGAGUCAGUGUCUCUUCCAGGUUAAAAAGGUACCUUUCAGGAGUUCCCAUAGUGGCUUGGGGGGAAUGAAUCUGAGUAGCAUCCAUGAGGACGCAGUUUCAAUCCUUGGCCUCGCUCAGUUGGUUAAGGAUCCAUUGUUGCUGUGAGCUGUGGUGUAGGUCGAAGUAGCGGCUCCGAUCUGACAAGGCUGUGGCUGUGGCUGGUGACUACAGCUCUGAUUCUCCCCCUAGCCUUGGAACCUCCGUAUGCCUCAGGUAAGGCCCUAAAAAGACCAAAAAAAAAAAAAAAAAAAAAAAAAGGAAUCAGAUAAUUUCUCCAUUUUUUUUUUUAGUUGGUAAGUGGACCGUCUUGGAGGAUUCCUCUCCCUGCCUUAUGCCCCUUAGUUGCUCUGCCUUCCUCCUCCUCUAGCUCUGGUUGCUCUCUGGGCACAGAAAAGCUUACAUGACUUCCCAGUAGCAGGAAAGAUUUCUCUCCUAAGAAGGAGCUGUCUGUGCUGGUUCCCACUGAACUCUGAUCCAUGAGUAACUUGUGCCACUUCAUCUCUGAGCAUCUGUUGCCGUCCUCUUUUGUAGCUGCUGUUGAUGCUCUUGUGGUCAGGGUAGCUUGUGUUUUCUAGUCAAAGGAAAUGCAGGAUGGUCACUCUUGGGAAAGUUCUCCUUCACAUUGCAUUGAUGCCUGAGCUCCCACUUGGCGCCUACUGAUGCUGAUGCCCUUAUGUGACCCCAUCUCGCUCCCGUCCCCAUCCCACGGUGUUGUUUACCUAUGUCAUCAUUUUCACUGCUGUAUAUUGGCACAGUGUGCCUGCCAGCCUUCUUUUAUCAAAGUUCCAAAUGGAAAGGGAAAUUCAAAUCCCCCUUUGCUUUUGGCAUGACCUCAAACUACGUGGAAUACUUUUAUUGCAAACAUUACCCAAGGUUUGACUGUGGGAGGUGUGGGAGCAGAAUUGAGGACUCUUCUUUUUUUUCCUAAUCGCUGUAUGAAUAGUAGGCUUUUUUAAAAAAUCAAAAAUUUUAUUACCGUUGAUUUAUGUGUUGUGCCAGUUUCUUCUGUACACCAUAGUGACCCAGUCAUGUGUGUGUGUGUGUGUGUGUGUGUACGCAUUCCUUUUCUCAUACUAUUUACCAUCAUGUUCUAUCCUAAGAGAUUGGUUAUAGUUUCCUGUGCUGUACAGCAGGACCUCGUUGCUUAUCAUUCUAAAUGUAAUAGUUUGCAUCUACCAACCCCACACUCCCCAUCCAUUCCCCUCCCUCCCCUUCCCCCUUGGCAACCACAAGUCUGUUCUACGUCUACAAAUCUCUUUCUGUUUUGUAGAGAGGUUCAUUUGUGCGGUAUUUUAGAUUGCAUGUAUAAGGACUUUUCUUGAUAACUUCUCUCUCUCCCCUCUCUUAGCUGCAUUUCCCAGUACCAAGAGGCCUUUCUACUUUUCCUCUCUAGGUGGUGAGAAUGCCAUAUCUUCUUUCUUGCCUACUUUAUGGAUUUUGUAGGACUCCGAUCAAGUUGGCCAGACUUGACUCUCGAUAUAUGAAAGAUAUUAAAUACCCUUUUAAGGUACUGUCCCCUCAAAAAACAAACAAGCAACAGAAGGUAGCUUUCAGGUCUUUUCUGUUUCUGUGUGCUAGAAUUCUUGUUUGAGGUUCAAAACUGAGUAAUACUUCUUUUUCUCCCCCAAAUGUUGUUGGUUAAUCAGGAUAACACAACAUAUGAGAAAUGAAAUUUACAUCCACUUAAUAUUUCAAAAAUAUCCUUCUUACUUCUGUUUGUUAUAGGAAGGGAUCAUUAUAAAGUAGAAAAAAGUUGUGUGUAAUCCCAUCUCCAGGAAAUAAUCACGAUUAAUGAUGUUUUUUAGCUGGGUGCUAACUGGGUGAUUUAAGAACCGGUUACUUUACUCCCUGAUCCUCAAUUUCCUCCUCUGCUAAAUGGGAAUAACUCCUCUUCCUCCUACAGGGUGGUGUUUUCAUUCAAAUGUCAUUUUUAUCAUAGGAAAAAUGAUUAUAUAUAAUUGGUUCUGAUCCUAUCUCUGUUGUAAUACUGUAUUAUUCUAAUUUAUAUGUAUCUUUAUUUUUAAUUUAUAUGUAUCUUUAUAGUACAUUUAUAUGUGUAUCUUUAUAGUACAUUUUUAAAACUUGGUAAAACAAAUAUACAUCUUUUACUAUCUUUUUACAUGCCUUUUCAAACAAUUUGUGCCAAUCAUAACUUGUUUAUUCUCUCAAAUGAACAUUGGAAUUAUUGUGUUAGCUUCUUAUAUAUUUUAUUGGUGUUUUCAUUAAGAUUACCUUAAUGUUUAUGAUAUUAAAUAUUCUAAUAAACAGGUUUUCUCUUCUGGG